rnacentral:pre_miRNA from 1 species
CUAGUACAAGUGGAGUUGGAACGUUUACCUUAGUUUGCCGCUAGGGGCGCUGUUCUAACUGCAUACAAAUUUGAGUUA